UGAGGAAUAUUGGUCAAUGGGCGGGAGCCUGAACCAGCCAAGCCGCGUGAGGGAAGAAGGCCCUAUGGGUCGUAAACCUCUUUUGUCAGGGAACAAAAGCGAGUAUGUAUACUGGUCUGAGUGUACCUGAAGAAAAAGCAUCGGCUAACUCCGUGCCAGCAGCCGCGGUAAUACGGAGGAUGCGAGCGUUAUCCGGAUUUAUUGGGUUUAAAGGGUGCGUAGGCGGCGGUGCAAGUCAGCGGUAAAAUGCCCGGGGCUCAACCCCGGCGAGCCGUUGAAACUGCAGUGCUAGAGAAGGCGAGAGGUACGCGGAAUGCGCAGUGUAGCGGUGAAAUGCUUAGAUAUUGCGCAGAACUCCGAUUGCGAAGGCAGCGUACUGGCGCCUGACUGACGCUGAGGCACGAAAGCGUGGGGAUCGAACAGGAUUAGAUACCC
rnacentral:rRNA from 1 species